GUAUUUUUUUUCGUGUUUCUGCGCCCCCCACAGACUCCACACGCUUUCCCCCAAAUCGCCGCCGCCAUGGAGAAGGAGAAGAAGCUGUCCUUCUCCAUCCCUUCCAAGCUCAGGCCGCCCAAGCCGCCCCGCCCCGCCGCCGGCGCUGAUUCCUCCGCCGCCAGCGGCAACUCCGCUUCCGCGGCCGCUGCCCCCGCCCAGCAAUUCGUCACCGAGUUCGAUCCGUCGCAAACCCUAGCCGCCGGCGCCGCGUCCGCCGUCAUCGCGCCCCUCCCCAACUCCGGCCACUUCCUCAACCACCGCUCCCGCAAACCCUCCUCCCUCCCGACCCCCGAGGAGGAGGCCGCCCUUGCGGCCUCCACCGCCGGUGGCCCCACAUUCGUGCUCGACACCUCCGAGGCCCCCGACAACCCCUCCUCCCACAUAGGGUAUGGCCUCACCCGACGCGGCGCCGACGCCGACGCCGAGGCUGACGCCACGGAGCCGGGUAAGACGCAGUCUUCCAAGGAAUCAGAGAAGAAGCCGACCUCUCCAGCCAGAGAUGGCGGCUCCAGCGGUGACCUUAUGCUGCGACGGUACAAGGAGGACAUGGCCAGCCUCCCUGACCACCGUGGUAUAGAUGAGUUUGAGGAGGUGCCUGUGGAGGGCUUCGGUGCUGCCCUCCUUGCUGGUUACGGCUGGUCGGAAGGCAAAGGGCUCGGCCGCAAUAACAAGGAAGAUACCAAGGUUGUUGAGUAUAACCGCCGUGCCGGUACGCUGGGAUUAGGUUACGACCCUUCUGAGGCAGACCCUAAGAAGACUCGCUCCGGCGACUGGGUUAUUGGUGGAAAGAAGCCGACAGAGAAUGGUGGAAAGAAGUCCGCAGAGAAUGGAAAUGCAAAGAAGAGAGAUAUGGACAAGGAAGACAGAGUCCGGGAGAGGGAUUCAAGUUCCCGACAGAAGAGAUCUGGUGAUCUUAGGGCCGAGAGGGAGGUUCGAGAGAAAGAGAGAAAAUCUCGGGAUAGUCGAGAAGAAAAGAGUAGCCGCGAUGUUGGUAACAAAGUGCGCUGGUUACAGAGCAAUAUUAGGGUUAGAGUGGUUAAUGAGAGGUUCAGCAGAAGGUUGUACCUGCAGAAGGCAAAAAUUGUCGAUGUGGUUGGACCAACGACAUGUGACAUAAUGAUGGAUGACGGGUCAGAGCUUGUGCAGGGGGUGGAGCAGGAUAUGCUUGAAACAGUCCUGCCACGGACAAACGGCCAAGUGCUUGUGCUCUGUGGGAAGCACAAGGGGGUGUAUGGGCAUCUGGUAGAGAAGAAUUCAGAGGCAGAGACUGCAGUAGUGGAGGAUGCGGAUACAAAAGACAUGGUGCGUGUGAAAUAUGAUCAGAUUGCAGAGUACGUUGGGGACCCAGAAUUGCUUGGGCAUUGAUUAUUUCUUCUUGAGGAGGGGACAUCUGUUUUCCAGGAGCUCUUCUAAUGUGCGACCUAGGUAAAUACUCUGAGGAAAGAGGCUGGUAUUGAUGCCUUCAAAAGGGAUAGUGAUAGAUCUAAGAGAGUGGUGAGGAGAGCCGCGCGGAACACUUAAAUACAUUUCUGGUUUCCUUCAAAAUACAACUAGGCUCUGCUUUAUAGAGGACUUCUAAAGGAUGGCUUGAAAAGGGAUGGAUGCAAGGAUGGUGAAGAUUUGGUAAUAGAUGGUUUUCGCCCAGUUUUAUGCAAAUUAACUGGGCAAUUCUCUUCUGCUUAACUAAUAGGUAGAGGCAAAUCUUUUGCCUCCGUUUCGAAAAGAAAAAAAGAUUCGAUCAUAGGGGGAUGGAAGAAGGAGCCGGGAGGAACGAUUAGAUACAUCCUUGUUUCCUUCAAAAUACAACUAAGUUCUGCUUUAUAAAGAGGACUUCUAACUGAUAUUAGAGAACUCUCUGUAGUAUAAGAUGCAAACAUUAUUAUGAAAGGAUACCAUCAAAACAAACAGUAUACAACUAAAAGAUACUGCCUCCUUUCCAGUUUAAAAGGCCUACGCGUAUCUCUAGGUUGACAAUUUUUCCAAACUAAGACGAGUCAUAGAUCGUAAAUUUAUACCAUUAGAAACUUCAAAUGUUAUAUUUUCCAAGUUAUAAUUUUUGUGAUAUACAAUUUGCAUCGCAUCUACUAUAUCUAAAUAGGAGAACCCCACUACAUGAUUUCUCUGCACAUGCAGCCUAUCCACCUCAUCACUUGCCACAUCAGCCUAUCUAAACAUGCAGGCGUGUAACGCCAGCCACCUCUUGCGUUUGGUUUUCAGCGGUAAAUCACUUUCCCACUUCAUGCAUUGCAUGCUCCUAUGUCUUUAUAAUUUUUGUGAUAUACAAUUUGCAUCACAUUGGUUGAAUUGGCAAGCCCAAACUUGCAUGUGACAUAAACAACCUUCAUCUACAGUAUAUUUCAGUGGGCCUCUUGACAUAGCAUGAUUACAGUUUUGGGUAAUGUUUCUGCUCACCAGUUUUGCAUAAUAGCAAACUGUACCAUAGGCCAUAGUCAUGUUGGCUUCUAGUUUACGGAUUACCUUCCAAGAUUUGUCAUCUUCAUUUUAUAAAAUAGAUUAGUGUGUCACCCAAACAUGAUUUUUAAAUCGAAUAUGGUUCAGAUCAGAUCAAGGAUAUUGUGAUUCACUAUAAUAUCACAACUCUGCUAUACUAGCAUGGCGCGGCAAUUGGAAUUUUGUGCCAAUUAGAGACUGUAUUCGUCCCUAAUAGCGAAUCAAACACAACAAGAAUUGUAUAUAAUUCAGAUAGUAGUUUCUGUGUCUAGCUGUGUUGCACUGAAAUUACAAACAUUAAAAACUGUAGAGACACCGAUAUUUGAUAAUUACAAUACGUGCACAUGGUAUUCAAGCGCAUGCAUUUCAAACCCUUACUCAGUAGUUGAGUUAUCUUUCUCCUUAUACUCUCCCUCGUUGUUGCCUUCUGCAACUUUUUUUGACUCGUUGCAUCAUGUAGCCGACUUGUCAACUUUUUCCUUCUGAGCAAUUGCAAUCAAUGUCUUGU